AAAUUGAAGAGUUUGAUCAUGGCUCAGAUUGAACGCUGGCGGCAGGCCUAACACAUGCAAGUCGAACGGUAACAGGAAACAGCUUGCUGUUUCGCUGACGAGUGGCGGACGGGUGAGUAAUGUCUGGGAAACUGCCUGAUGGAGGGGGAUAACUACUGGAAACGGUAGCUAAUACCGCAUAACGUCGCAAGACCAAAGAGGGGGACCUUCGGGCCUCUUGCCAUCGGAUGUGCCCAGAUGGGAUUAGCUUGUUGGUGGGGUAACGGCUCACCAAGGCGACGAUCCCUAGCUGGUCUGAGAGGAUGACCAGCCACACUGGAACUGAGACACGGUCCAGACUCCUACGGGAGGCAGCAGUGGGGAAUAUUGCACAAUGGGCGCAAGCCUGAUGCAGCCAUGCCGCGUGUAUGAAGAAGGCCUUCGGGUUGUAAAGUACUUUCAGCGGGGAGGAAGGGAGUAAAGUUAAUACCUUUGCUCAUUGACGUUACCCGCAGAAGAAGCACCGGCUAACUCCGUGCCAGCAGCCGCGGUAAUACGGAGGGUGCAAGCGUUAAUCGGAAUUACUGGGCGUAAAGCGCACGCAGGCGGUUUGUUAAGUCAGAUGUGAAAUCCCCGGGCUCAACCUGGGAACUGCAUCUGAUACUGGCAAGCUUGAGUCUCGUAGAGGGGGGUAGAAUUCCAGGUGUAGCGGUGAAAUGCGUAGAGAUCUGGAGGAAUACCGGUGGCGAAGGCGGCCCCUGGACGAAGACUGACGCUCAGGUGCGAAAGCGUGGGGAGCAAACAGGAUUAGAUACCCUGGUAGUCCACGCCGUAAACGAUGUCGACUUGGAGGUUGUGCCCUUGAGGCGUGGCUUCCGGAGCUAACGCGUUAAGUCGACCGCCUGGGGAGUACGGCCGCAAGGUUAAAACUCAAAUGAAUUGACGGGGGCCCGCACAAGCGGUGGAGCAUGUGGUUUAAUUCGAUGCAACGCGAAGAACCUUACCUGGUCUUGACAUCCACGGAAGUUUUCAGAGAUGAGAAUGUGCCUUCGGGAACCGUGAGACAGGUGCUGCAUGGCUGUCGUCAGCUCGUGUUGUGAAAUGUUGGGUUAAGUCCCGCAACGAGCGCAACCCUUAUCCUUUGUUGCCAGCGGUCCGGCCGGGAACUCAAAGGAGACUGCCAGUGAUAAACUGGAGGAAGGUGGGGAUGACGUCAAGUCAUCAUGGCCCUUACGACCAGGGCUACACACGUGCUACAAUGGCGCAUACAAAGAGAAGCGACCUCGCGAGAGCAAGCGGACCUCAUAAAGUGCGUCGUAGUCCGGAUUGGAGUCUGCAACUCGACUCCAUGAAGUCGGAAUCGCUAGUAAUCGUGGAUCAGAAUGCCACGGUGAAUACGUUCCCGGGCCUUGUACACACCGCCCGUCACACCAUGGGAGUGGGUUGCAAAAGAAGUAGGUAGCUUAACCUUCGGGAGGGCGCUUACCACUUUGUGAUUCAUGACUGGGGUGAAGUCGUAACAAGGUAACCGUAGGGGAACCUGCAGUUGGAUCACCUCCUUA
rnacentral:rRNA from 1 species